ACUACAACCAUCGUACCUUUAUUUAGAUUACAAGUCUUAUAAGAAGGCUCACUUAUAGUACACAUGCUUAAAACAUUUACAACCAAACAACAAACAAACUAGAAUAACGUUUCUUUUCAAAAUGUCCAUUCUUUAUUCAAGCCUUAUUUUACAAAACAAAGCAUGAAAGCCUUAAUUUAUACAUAACACUCUCUAUGCUUCACAAAUACCACCUGCAAGGGGUUUGACGAGGGGUGAGCAACGCUCAGUAGGGCUAGUUAAUAUAUUAAUAAAACAUCAUCAAACAUAAGCAAACAAACAAACAUGGCAUAUCAAGAAUGCAUGGAUGCAAUAUGAACUUAACUCUCUUCCCACACCUCACAUCACCCUCAAAUAGAUUUUCCUAUUUUGUUAGUUAUCUUGUUAUACUCACGGUUUCCAAACCCGAAACCCGAUAAGAUCGUUUUGUUGAUGUUCGCCAUCGAAAGGCAUACUUUCCCUGAAUUUGUGCACGUGUGAGCUAGCCUGGAUCUUGGAUAACCCAUGAGGAAACUCAACUACACAAAAGAUUUUUCAAUAGAAAUAUCUCAUAUCUUCCCAAACACUCGUUCUCAUUUUCACCUCCAAUCUCACUCAUUUCCCACAAUAUCAUGUAAUAUGAUUCAAAAUAAUAACACAUGCUUUCAAAUAUAGACAUAUCAUAAUCAAUUCAAAAUCUCAAUAUCAUCUACAUUUAAUUUGAAUAGUGCCACACAAUUCAAUGUCAAACAAACAAUCCAAUAUCAAAUAACUCAAGCAAUAACCACACAAUUCAUACACAAGCACAAUAAAAGAAAAUACCCCAUCAAACCCUACUUCGAUUUGCACAGCACAAAGUCGAGCUCAAACUUCACUUCUCACACUUGUGGAUCACCAAAAACGUCUCCAAAACCUUACCCAAAAGGUAAAGUACAUACAAAGAAUGGUGAGCUAGAGUUAGUAACUAUGUUAUAAGUAGGAUACAGAGUAAGAAAACUCUACUACUUUACUAAGAAAAAAAAUUUAAAUAACACUUAAAGCUAUUAAAGAGCUACUGAAAAGUAACUAAAUCAGCUGCUAGAGAAACUGAUUUAAAACUAAGUUCCUAUUUCAGCUUUAGUGGUAAAAACAGUGUACGAGAUGCUGUCUUUGGCUUCAAUUUCCACCCACUAAACUCCAACCAAAAUUACUGAACCCAAGCCUGUUUUACAGAUGGUAUUACAGGCUUUAAAUACAUAGCUUAAGUUUUGAAAACAAAGCCCUGGAUAGGAAGUUACGGUUUUGCAAAGUUGGAGUAAAAAUCUGAAAACCCAGAAAUUCCAGUUUUUGUUGAGUCUGCUACUGUUUUUGGCAAGUUAUUUGACAAACCAAAUGUUAACCAAAACCUGUAAAAUUGAGCAUGCAAAAAGAUGGAUAUAUGAGCUUUACAAAAGUACUUUCGAAUUUCAAAACAAAGGCCUGAGCUGAAAGAUAUCCUGCCUCAAAUUAGGCAAGAAAAUCAGUUUUCUGCAGAAUUUUCUAGAAAUUUACAGCAAGAAUAAGACUUGGUUUUUGGAAGCUUUAAUUCGACUUUUGAAGUAACAAAACAAGUUCUAAACCUUCAGAACAGAAAGGAACAGAUUUCCAGACCACGAAAUCAUCUUAAACAUAACAAACAAGGAAACAAAAAGACCCAAAAUUUACUCUGGACACCCAAACUGAAGAACAAGGUUCUUGAGCAGCAACCUAAAACGAUUCCAAAACAAAACAGCAUCCUUGAUUCAAAUUCAGAUUCCUAUCUAUACAAGUCUCAGAAUUCGAAAUCACCAACCAAAAUUAAACAAAGGAAUCAUAUUAAACUCAAAACAAGAAACAAGAAUCAAAGCAAACCACAAACAAAACUAUGAAACUGAAACUGAAAUUGCUAGAAGAUGAAAUGGGUUUUACCUUAGAAAAAUGAAUUGAAAAGGUUUCCUCUCUCACAACUCUCCCAAAAUCUGUCCUCUCCAGAAACUCUGUGCUAGUUUUGUCGAAGGUUUUAGCAGACUCUCCCGAUCCAUUCUAAUCUACUACAGCCUAGACUCCUAGACCUCCAGCUAGCCCCUACUCCUAUAAGCUUAGACUUAUACUCUUGAGACACCUCUUGCUUGGUAAGAUGGUGGAGCAAAGAAUAGCAAAAAGAAAAGGAAG
rnacentral:lncRNA from 1 species